UACGGAGGAGUGCGAGCGUUAUCCGGAUUUAUUGGGUUUAAAGGGUGCGUAGGCGGCCGAGUAAGUCAGCGGUGAAAUUUUGCAGCUUAACUGUAACAGUGCCGUUGAUACUGCAUGGCUAGGAUUUGGUUGCUGUGGGUGGAAUGUGUGGUGUAGCGGUGAAAUGCUUAGAUAUCACACAGAAUAUCAAUUGCGAAGGCAGCUCACAAAGCCAAGAUUGACGCUGAGGCACGAAAGUGUGGGGAUCAAACA
rnacentral:rRNA from 1 species